rnacentral:rRNA from 1 species
AGUGAACGCUGGCGGUAGGCCUAACACAUGCAAGUCGAACGGCAGCACAGUAAGAGCUUGCUCUUACGGGUGGCGAGUGGCGGACGGGUGAGGAAUACAUCGGAAUCUACUUUUUCGUGGGUGAUAACGUAGGGAAACUUACGCUAAUACCGCAUACGACCUACGGGUGAAAGCAGGGGAUCUUCUGACCUUGCGCGAUUGAAUGAGCCGAUGUCGGAUUAGCUAGUUGGCGGGGUAAAGGCCCACCAAGGCGACGAUCCGUAGCUGGUCUGAGAGGAUGAUCAGCCAGACUGGAACUGAGACACGGUCCAGACUCCUACGGGAGGAAGCAGUGGGGAAUAUUGGACGAUGGGCGAAAGCCUGAUCCAGCCAUACCGCGUGGGUGAAGAAGGACUUCGGGUUGUAAAGCCCUUUUGUUGGGAAAGAAAAGCAGCAGGUUAAUACCCCGCUGUUCUGACGGUACCCAAAGAAUAAGCACCGGCUAACUUCGUG